GCCGCUGUGGUCCAACUGGCAGAGGCGUCGGACUUAAGAUCCGAAUGUUAAGGGUUCGAAUCCCUUCAGCGGUA
rnacentral:tRNA from 1 species